UACGUAGGGUGCAAGCGUUGUCCGGAAUCAUUGGGCGUAAAGAGCGUGUAGGCGGCCCGAUAAGUCCGCUGUGAAAGUCCAGGGCUCAACCCUGGAAUGCCGGUGGAUACUGUCGGGCUAGAGUCCGGAAGGGGCGAGUGGAAUUCCUGGUGUAGCGGUGAAAUGCGCAGAUAUCAGGAGGAACACCGGUGGCGAAGGCGGGUCUCUGGGGCAGUAACUGACGCUGAGGAGCGAAAGCGUGGGGAGCGAACAGG
rnacentral:rRNA from 1 species